rnacentral:rRNA from 1 species
GAUGAACGCUGGCGGCGUGCCUAAUACGUGCAAGUCGAGCGAACAGACGAGGAGCUUGCUCCUCUGACGUUAGCGGCGGACGGGUGAGUAACACGUGGAUAACCUACCUAUAAGACUGGGAUAACUUCGGGAAACCGGAGCUAAUACCGGAUAAUAUAUUGAACCGCAUGGUUCAAUAGUGAAAGACGGUUUUGCUGUCACUUAUAGAUGGAUCCGCGCCGCAUUAGCUAGUUGGUAAGGUAACGGCUUACCAAGGCAACGAUGCGUAGCCGACCUGAGAGGGUGAUCGGCCACACUGGAACUGAGACACGGUCCAGACUCCUACGGGAGGCAGCAGUAGGGAAUCUUCCGUAAUGGGCGAAAGCUUGACGGAGCAACGCCGCGUGAGUGAUGAAGGUCUUCGGAUCGUAAAACUCUGUUAUUAGGGAAGAACAAAUGUGUAAGUAACUAUGCACGUCUUGACGGUACCUAAUCAGAAAGCCACGGCUAACUACGUG